AGCUGUAGAUGAUGACUUUGAAACACAUAAUGGGAAUCUCUCUGAAAAAUAGUGAAAGAUGACAUUUUGUCUGAUGCGGUG
ensembl:snoRNA SNORD79 Small nucleolar RNA SNORD79